rnacentral:rRNA from 1 species
UACGGGGGGAGCAAGCGUUGUUCGGAUUUACUGGGCGUAAAGGGCGCGUAGGCGGCGCAACAAGUCACUUGUGAAAUCUCCGGGCUUAACCCGGAGCGGCCAAGUGAUACUGUCGUGCUAGAGUGCGGAAGGGGCUACUGGAAUUCUCGGUGUAGCGGUGAAAUGCGCAGAUAUCAGGAGGAACACCGGUGGCGAAGGCGGGUCUCUGGGCCGUAACUGACGCUGAGGCGCGAAAGCGUGGGGAGCAAACAGG